rnacentral:rRNA from 1 species
UACGUAGGGUGCAAGCGUUAAUCGGAAUUACUGGGCGUAAAGCGUGCGCAGGCGGUGAUGUAAGACAGAUGUGAAAUCCCCGGGCUCAACCUGGGAACUGCAUCCGAGACUGCAUUGCUAGAGUAUGGGAGAGGGAAGCGGAAUUUCUGGUGUAGCAGUGAAAUGCGUAGAUAUCAGGAGGAACACCGGUGGCGAAGGCGGGUCUCUGGGCAGUAACUGACGCUGAGGAGCGAAAGCGUGGGGAGCGAACAGG